AAGAAUUUAGUUAAUUUAUAACAUUAAUUUGUCAAAUUAAAAUUACUAUUAAAGUAUUUCUUU
rnacentral:tRNA from 1 species